CCUACGGGAGGCAGCAGUGAGGAAUAUUGGUCAAUGGACGAGAGUCUGAACCAGCCAAGUAGCGUGAAGGAUGACUGCCCUAGGGGUGGUAAACUUCUUUUAUAUGGGAAUAAAAUGUUCCACGUGUGGGAUUUUGUAUGUACCAUAUGAAUAAGGAUCGGCUAACUCCGUGCCAGCAGCCGCGGUAAUACGGAGGAUCCGAGCGUUAUCCGGAUUUAUUGGGUUUAAAGGGAGCGUAGGUGGAUUGUUAAGUCAGUUGUGAAAGUUUGCGGCUCAACCGUAAAAUUGCAGUUGAAACUGGCAGUCUUGAGUACAGGAGAGGUGGGCGGAAUUCGUGGUGUAGCGGUGAAAUGCUUAGAUAUCACGAAGAACUCCGAUUGCGAAGGCAGCUCACUGGACUGCAACUGACACUGAGGCUCGAAAGUGUGGGUAUCAAACAGGAUUAGAUACCCCGGUAGUC
rnacentral:rRNA from 1 species